GGGAAAGUGGCUCAGUGGUAGAGUUCUUGCCUUGCAUGCAUGAAGCCCUGGGUUCGAUUCCUCAGUGCCG
rnacentral:tRNA from 1 species